rnacentral:tRNA from 3 species
GCCGAUAUAGCUCAGUUGGUAGAGCAGCAUAUUCGUAACAUGCAGGUCAGGGGUUCAACUCCCUUUAUCGGCACCA